GGCUCAGAUUGAACGCUGGCGGCAUGCCUUACACAUGCAAGUCGAACGGCAGCACGGACUUCGGUCUGGUGGCGAGUGGCGAACGGGUGAGUAAUGUAUCGGAACGUACCUUCAGGUGGGGAUAACGUAGCGAAAGUUACGCUAAUACCGCAUAUUCUGUGAGCAGGAAAGCAGGGGAUCGCAAGACCUUGCGCUGAUUGAGCGGCCGAUAUCAGAUUAGGUAGUUGGUGGGGUAAAGGCUCACCAAGGCUACGAUAGCUAGGGGGCGUGAGAGCGUGGCCCCCCACACGGGUACUGAGACACGGACCCGACUCCUACGGGAGGCAGCAGUGAGGAAUAUUGGUCAAUGGGCGCAAGCCUGAACCAGCCAUGCCGCGUGCAGGAAGACGGUCCUAUGGAUUGUAAACUGCUUUUAUACAGGAAGAAACCCUCCCACGUGUGGGAGCUUGACGGUACUGUAGGAAUAAGGAUCGGCUAACUCCGUG
rnacentral:rRNA from 1 species